rnacentral:lncRNA from 1 species
ACACCUAAGUAGUAUAUCAAAUUCUUACAUUACUUUUUUUUUAUAUCAAAUUGAUUGCAAUACUCCCGCCUCAGCGUACUGACUCCUCCUACCAAUUUAACAUAACUAAUGCUACACUAAAUUAAUUUGUAGCAACGCGGAGAACCAAACAUACCUCGAUCCCAACUAGCUCAUGCAGUGUACAGACAGACUCUGCUUCAGUUCUGGCCUAACAUAUUUGCUCCAACGCUAACCUACAACCUAGUGCAGUUGGUUUCCGAACGACUUGCAUCAAUCUUAGCACAUGUUGUUCCUUGGAUGCUGCUUGAGCGUCAUUACCGUCUCGGUUAACUCCAGACUGGAGAACUCGUCUGAGGUGCUUUCCCAAUGCCACUCAUUCCGAUGGAAUACGCCAGUCAUAUUUCUCAUGUACUCCUUGGAUGCCACUCAUUCUGACGACAAGAGCAGAUCAGGUUUAAACGAGGUCUCAUAAUUUGUGCCUUUGUUAUUCUUAUCUACUGGAGUGUCUAGCAAGCUAAUUAAAUAGAGCAGCACAAGUGAUCAAAGUACCCAUGUAGAGUGUGGUGCCCCUUUGCUGGCUGAUGGAGCUCCAUACAAACACACCUGGCUACUACAAGAGCAUUUUUCUCAUCCUUAGAUACCAUUAUUUUCUUGCUUAAAAAAUAGUGGUACCUAUUGUUACCUCUUCAAGGAUAAUAAAAUUGCUCCAACUACAAAGUGUGGGGAGGGAGGGUCCUUAUGGACC